GGCAUGUGGAGUUAUGAGUUGUGUGAAUUGUUUGCGUUGAAUGGUUGCCUAUUGAGUGCCUAAUUAUAUUUUUAUAUGAUCUCUCUCUUUUAGGCUGAUUUAUUAAGAGGUUUUACACUGUCAGGAAAGUGGGGCAGGCAAACAUUUAUUGCUGCAGUACCUUCAAUGGGCUGAUGGCUGUGUUGGAAUGCUGAAUAUCUGUAUCUUCUCUGUAUCUAUCAUAUUUGGAUUUUGGUCUUGGAAUUGAGUGCUGAGAUUGGGUAACUGUGCUGAAGCUGUACUUUUGUUCAAUGUGUAGUGGCUUUGUAUAGGGCCGGGGCUGCAUCGGCCCUUAACCUCCCCUGGUGUAGGUGAUUUGGGUGGCGUGGCACUGCUGUGUGGUGUAUAUUACCUAGAAGGUUGACACUGAAAUGGUGUUUUAAAUGUUACUCUUUGUUUGCGGUGUAUGCUGUGGGUCUUUUUUUCUUUCUCUUACAGGUGGUAGGCGGUGGAUAAGAGCAGGCCCGACCCUCCUUGCCAUUUUGAGGAGAGCUAUUUUCUACAUUUGUGGAUUUUAU